CCCUUAGAUGUUCUGGGCUGCACGCGUGUUACAGUCGGGAGUACAACAAGAUUGCAAAUCCUAGUGGAUGAGUGGUUCUUCGAAAUUUUCUGAAGACUGGGAUAGUUGAUUGAAAUUAUUCAACUCAAACGAGGAAUUCCUUGUAAUUGUAAUUCAUUAUAUUGUAAUGAAUACGUCCCUGCCCUUUGUACACACCGCCCGUCGCUCCUACCGAUUGAACGAUCCGGUGAAUUAUUUGGAGUAGCUCUGGAAGUUGCAGAACUUCCUAUGUCACGAAAUUUUGUAAACCUUAUCGUUUAGAGGAAGGAAAAGUCGUAACA
rnacentral:rRNA from 1 species